rnacentral:rRNA from 2 species
ACCUUCGGGCCUUGUGCUACUAGAGCGGCUGAUGGCAGAUUAGGUAGUUGGUGGGGUAAAGGCUUACCAAGCCUGCGAUCUGUAGCUGGUCUGAGAGGACGACCAGCCACACUGGGACUGAGACACGGCCCAGACUCCUACGGGAGGCAGCAGUGGGGAAUUUUGGACAAUGGGCGAAAGCCUGAUCCAGCAAUGCCGCGUGCAGGAUGAAGGCCCUCGGGUUGUAAACUGCUUUUGUACGGAACGAAAAGCUCUGGGCUAAUACCCUGGAGUCAUGACGGUACCGUAAGAAUAAGCACCGGCUAACUACG